rnacentral:rRNA from 1 species
UCUGCAACUCGACUCCAUGAAGCUGGAUUCGCUAGUAAUCGCGCAUCAGCCAUGGCGCGGUGAAUACGUUCCCGGGCCUUGUACACACCGCCCGUCAAGCCAUGGAAGCCGGGAGUGCCUGAAGUGUGCAACCGCAAGGAGCGCCCUAAGGUAAAACUGGUGACUGGGGCUAAGUCGUAACAAGGUAUC